CGGCCGCGGUAUUUUGACCGUGCAAAGGUAGCGCAAUCACUUGUCUUUUAAAUAGAGACCUGUAUGAAUGGCUAAACGAGGGCUUAACUGUCUCCCCCUUCAAGUCAGUGAAAUUGAUCUAUCCGUGCAGAAGCGGGUAUAACCAUACAAGACGAGAAGACCCUUUGGAGCUUAAGGUACAAAAUUCAACCACGUUAAGCAACUUGAUAAAAAGCAAAAACUUAGUGGAACCUGAAAUUUUACCUUCGGUUGGGGCGACCACGGAGGAAAACCAAGCCUCCGAGUGGAAUGGGCCAAACCCCUAAAACCAAGAGAUACAUCUCUAAGCCGCAGAACAUCUGACCAAAAAUGAUCCGGCCAACAAAGCCGAUCAACGGACCAAGUUACCCUAGGGAUAACAGCGCAAUCCUCUCCCAGAGUCCAUAUCGACGAGGGGGUUUACGACCUCGAUGUUGGAUCAGGACAUCCUAAUGGUGCAGCCGCUAUUAAGGGUU
rnacentral:rRNA from 1 species